AUAUUAAUGCUGAUAUCCAUUGGAAAAGAAGUUUCUUCACCAAAAUAUAUAAAUAUAUUUAUUUACCGGGAAAGCCAGAAGAGAAAAGUAAUCGCGGGUUCUUGAGCAGCUACCGUUAGUCCCAACCAAGUCCAACCCAACCAAUCUCUGCUUCUGUUCCUCAUAGCCCCACCAUGGGCAUGCCGGAGAUCUUCCAGAGUGGCGCUAAUAGCGUCGUAAGGCGCGCCUUCGUUAUUGGCAAUGGCUUCCCCGGUUCAGGGAAUCAGUGCAUCGGUUUGGUUCGUGCUCUCGGCUUCUCCGAUAGUCACUUCUUAUACGUAAGUUCAUCAUGCCAAUCCCGAAUUUUCACAAUUUCUUGAAGAUUAUUGUAUUUUUGUCGUUGAAUUUGUUAUAAUAGAGCGAGUUACGAGACCAAGAGGAGGAAUUAAUGAGUCGCUGCACUGGCUUCCGGUUUCUCUUCACAAGAAGUUAGAUUAUGUUAUGGGACAAAUAUAUAAUUACAGUCGGCUUGUGAUAGCUACUUGAGGGAAGAUACUGGUGGCAUUACCUUCGGAAAACGGUGGUAGUGUGGGUUUAUCAACUGUUUUAGAAGCUGAUGUAAAGCAGAUAGUGAACAUGGUCCGUGAGACUUUUGAAAAGGAUGACCCUUUAUUGGUGAUUGCAUCUGGUAGAGAUACAACAUCCAAGAUCAAAUUUGAACGGGUUUGAUAUGGUGAUCACUCCACGUCAUGAUUAUUAUCCUUUGACUCCGGGCACAGGAGCAGGUUCCUCGGUUUAUCCAGAAGUGGAUAACCCCACGUGAACCUCCUGAUGGGCAUGCUUUAGUCAAACUCAUACCUUGAUUAUAUAUUUGCUUCUUCCAAAAGUUGUCAUAACCUGUACUUUGCUUUCUGAAUUCCAGGUUUUGACUGUGGGAGUUUUGCAUCAAAUUGAUUUCGCUGCACUUCGGUGUUGCUGCUAGCACAUGGCAUGAUGAGUUUGCUCCCUUGUCAAAGCCUUUACUGGUGGUUAACAUUGGAGGACCUACACAUAAUUAUUCAUUUUUGUUUGAAUCAGUAAUACUUUACACGUAGCUUGAUGGUUUCAUGUUAAUUUUAUUGUAUGAUCGUCCUCUCAACUUCUUUUGAAUUUUAAAAAUUGAAUAGAAGAGAAUAGGCACCUUUUUUUUUCUACAUUUAUAUGAGUUUUCAUAAUUUUUUAUAAUCAUAUGAAACUGGAUACAAUUUGUUUUUGUACUUUGUUCCUUCUGUUUCCCUCGGAUUUAGUGCAUAAGAUUUAAUGCAUGAUAUACUUCCUUUUAGGCUGCUCCCGCUAUGGGGCUGACCUUGCAAUGCAGUUAGUUGCCAGCCUGCUUAUUGUGCUUGCUAGCGGUGGGUGUUUCAGAGUAUCUUUCUCAAAUAGGACACGUGAAGAGGUUUCAAACAUAGUAAUAAAAGAGUUUCCACAAUCCAAAAGUUUAUAUUUGAGAUGACAAAGGUAUGUUUCAUCAAUUUUAAAACUUUUAUCAAGUUUAAAGAAACCAGAAAAGCUUUCUAAAAGUAUUGAAUUCUAGGGCCAAAUCCACAUAUGGGACAUUUAGCUUGGGCAGAUGCAUUUGUGACUACUGCAGAUUCAGUCAGUAUUAUAAGUGAGGCAUGCUGCCCUGGGUACACAUGAGAAUGUCUUACCUGUUGGUUGAUGAUUUAUAAUUUAUUACUGUAUUUCAGCUUUUGAGAUGGUAUCCUUUAGUGAGUACUGAAUUGAGCUUCCAACGUUAUUUGUUCAGUAAACCUAUAUAUGUUAUGGGAUCUGAACGUUGUAUAUGGAAGUUGUCUUACUUUUACAAAUCUUUGAGGGAGUGGGGAAUGAUUUGGCCAAUUACAGGUUCUGAGGAUGUAAGUAAAUCUUAUUUCUUUGUGGACAAAAGAAGAAAGUUUAAAGGAGAGAACGAACUAUGACCACCAUAACCCUCCUAAACUUUAACUUGUUUUACAAAAAUAUUUUGCUGUAUUUGUCGUGCCCAAAUAUUGUGAGCACUCUACUCCUGUUUAACAUUGCCUGGAUAGUAGCUGGCAUGUGUGAAUUAAAUGCUUGAUUUAUAUCAUUGCAUUACAUGCUCUUAUUUCCAUCCCUCCCAAUACCACGUGAAUUACGUGCUUGAUUUAUAUCUGUAUCACAUGUUCUUAUUGCCCCAUACACCACUAUCCUACCAAAAAAGAGCACAAGGGCAGUGUAGUUUUUUGGAAAAGAAUUUACAAGAUAUUAUUUGGCUGAGCACAAGGGUGUAGUUUAUUCUUUCUCCCCUUCAAAGUGUCCUGUAUCCUUUGUCAGAAUGCUUGUCUGAAUUGGUAACGUCUGCUUUCUGCAAAUGUUCAAUUCCCUUAUGCAUUGAAGAUGUAUUUUCUCCCCUUCCCUCCUCUAUAAAUAGUAAGUUAGAUUUAUUGGAGGCCCUUGCCAACUUGAUAAAUUGUGUUUUUCUUUCAGAUUUCUGUAAGUUGGAGCUAUCCUCCCCUUAAUGACACUGCAGAAGCUGCUUGUGGGGUGCACGAGGCACUUGCGGCACAGGGAUUAAGAUUGAGGCCAUAGAAUGUGUUCAUAGUUGUAAGCAUAUUCUUGUAAUUUUUUUUGGGAGGGUUUAAAAAGGGUACCCACUCUAGCUAGGUUUGUUACUAACAGCAAGGCAGAGUUGCAGCAAUUUUCAACUUUCAGUUAUCUGAAAGUAUAUGUUUGUUUCUGCUGCUUCAUGCCAAAACUUAUUGGCUCGCAAUAUAAUGAUUAGCUGGAUGUAUAGCAUCGGCCCAUUGGGUAAACCAUUAUUACUUGCCUCGUCUUUCUUCAUUUUGGAGUUCGACCGUGUUAUCCUUUAUAGUCUGCUGGUUCAAAAUACCAGGAUUGAAAGGGUAGGGUAAAAGGGAAGCUAAUUACUUUGGAUCAAGUUUUCAUUCAGCCCGUGUGGAAUAAAAAGUUUUAUUAGAAUUUAAAUCAAUUUAAUUUUUUUUCA